rfam:Actinomycetales bacterium JB111 genome assembly, contig: Scaffold37
AGCUUUCUUCGCGGCGGAGCUCGACCGCCCCUCGCACUGAUCGACACCUACAUCGACGAGAACAAGGCCGCCUAUGGGGUCGAGCCGAUCUGCCAGGCGCUACGCAGCGCGGACGUGCAGGUCGCCCCG